GACCGGGCGACGUGGGUGCCGCGCGUCGGAACGUGCACGCGGACACGGCGGCACGUAGGUGUUACAUAUCUGCUUUGUCCGCGCGACCGCGUACCGCGUGCGCCACGCGCAUUCUUCUCGGGGAACGGAAUCGCCUCCCCCUCGCUCGGGUGACGUGUGUCGGGUCGCGGAAACGGACCCCCGUUGCGCUUUCUUCGCCGCCGAGACUGCCGAGAGACGGGUGUAUCUCCACUUGCGUUAUUGAUAGAUUCAAAGUUAAAUUGUAUCAUCAAACUUUCUAAUUUGCUGGAAAAGGAGACGGCAAAAUUGCAGGAGUUGCAAGCUCACAUCGUGAGCUAGUAAACGUGGUCACGAGCAAAGAUUUGAACUUUGGAUUGUUUUAUAGUACGAUAUAAAAUCAGCAAUGAAGGAGAUUCUAAUAAAUGAUGAAGCAGAAUAUAUAAAUGAUGUGGAACAAGAUGAAAAUAUCGAUCCAAAUCAUGUGUUCGAACACGUGAGACAAUUAUUAUUAAGCCGAAAAGUCACUGAAGCAAUGACAUACCUGCGGAAGACGUUUACAAAAUUGGAGGGAGCUUCCGAAAUGGAAAAUCUUUCCGCUACAGCGAAGGAGGAAUGUCUAUUUGCUUUUUUGCUGAAGAUUUUCAUAGAAUCAGAGACUAAAUCGACAGAUAGAGACGAUAAUGCGAACGACGCGUCCAAAUCGGAACAAGGCGACAACAAGAGAGAGGAGAUAAGAUUGUGAAAACGCGUUAUGAAAUACUUAAAAAAUUGUCUGGAAUUUGAGACCGAGUUGGAGAAGGCGAUACCGAUGGCAGAAAAAUUGCUGUUUUCCACAUGCGCUGGAAACGCCGUCGAGUCGUGCACGUUUUUAGGAGUUGCUUUCCAAUUUGGAGUAACUGGAGCGGCCGACUCCAUGCGCGAGGCUCUGUUUCAAGUGUUUCAUCGCGAUCAAUCUGUGCGUAAUAACGUGGCCAUGAUGUACAAGAAAAUCUAUCUCGAUACAAAUAAGUUUGAUGGUCGACAAACGAUCGACCAUCAAAUAGCCGUUGCCAAUAACCAUUGGUGAGAGUUCUUAUUGUGCUUGCUGAAACCCUUUAACGACUUUAAUGAUCUGCUCGCGGCCCCGCGAGAUUGCUUUGAUUACAGAAGUGCUUGUACUUAUAUAAAAGUAAAAAAGUAUAUUGCAUAGUUUAAACUAAUAUGGUUUAUAGCGUGUAAAAAGAAACUCGAAGUAUAUAUACGCGCGCGGAACGAUGAGAACUGGUGAGCCCCGCCUAAAUUAAAAUUCAGCUUUGUUAUCUCGCGAGCCCUGAUAGACUUUUAAAAAGGGAAAAGGAAAGACGAUAUUUUACGCGCUAUGAAUGGAGCGGCAAGGAUCGAGCGGCGUGACCAACCGCCUGAAAUAUAUUUGGACUGAAUUUUUUUUUCGGGACCCGGACGAUCUCACGAUUUCUCGCCGUUUCACCGAGGUUGAUAUAGCCGAUGUAGCGUUUCUCAUAUCUCGACAAGACUCGAAUUUGCGUAGCGAAAGAGGAAGCGAACGAGCACGCGGCUGUCUCGCACUGCCAAAUAAUAAUAAAAGGAAAAGACAAGUUGCGUUCAUUGUGUGGACCGAUCGUUGAAAGCACCGCCGGUGUUCAUUAAAAUCCACAUAAUGGUUCUACGAGGGGGGAAGAGGGGUAAAAAAGAGGAAAAAUUCAAAUAAUAGGAGAGAGAAGCGCGCGCGGGAGCUUUUAAGAGAAUAAUAAUUUCACGGUUGCGAUAUCGUAUGUUCUUGUCUCUUCACUUCACCACCAUUCUCGAAAUAAGACACAAUAAGACGGUACGUCGCCACCGUCAACGCAGAGUUCUCAGCUCAGGGAUCAGGAGCCUUAAAAUUAACAGAUAUGUUAUUUGUUUAUUGAAAAUACGUGUUGUAACUUUUAAAGUAGUCAUCAUUAGAGACUCUAGAAAUAGAGACUGGACAUCUGCCCAUAUCUGUCCACAAAAUAACGUGAAAUGAGUAGUGUACUCGAUAUGUGCGUGUUCGCGCUUGUUGAAUAGCGUUUUUUAUUAGCGCUGCUAUUUUGCGGACACGACCAAUCAUGCCGACUGCCAAGUUAUCCAAUCUCUGAAAAAAAUUAACGGGAAGGUUGCAAUGAUUUUUUAUAGUGAAACGAAUUUUAUUAAUAUGUAUAUAUAUGCUAUUAAA